UACGGGGGGGGCAAGCGUUGUUCGGAAUUACUGGGCGUAAAGGGCGCGUAGGCGCCUUCUAAGUCGAACGUGAAAUCCCCGGGCUCAACCCGGGAACUGCGUCCGAUACUGGAAGGCUUGAAUCCGGGAGAGGGAUGUGGAAUUCCAGGUGUAGCGGUGAAAUGCGUAGAUAUCUGGAGGAACGCCGGUGGCGAAGGCGACAUCCUGGACCGGUAUUGACGCUGAGGCGCGAAAGCCAGGGGAGCAAACGGG
rnacentral:rRNA from 1 species